AGCUCCAAUAGCGUAUAUUAAAGUUGUUGCAGUUAAAAAGCUCGUAGUCGGAUUUUGGCAUCAUGCCGAACUGUCAGCCGAUUGGUUUGUACGGUUUGGCGGGUGCUCUCCUUCCGGAGGCUCGUUUCCUUCUUCAUUGAAGGGUUCGAUGGUUCCGGGUCUUUUACUUUGAAAAAAUUAGAGUGUUCAAAGCAGGCCUAUGCUCUGAAUAGGUUAGCAUGGAAUAAUAGAAUAGGACUUUGGUUCUAUUUUGUUGGUUUCUAGGACCGAAGUAAUGAUUAAUAGGGACAGUUGGGGGCAUUCAUAUUCCAAUGUCAGAGGUGAAAUUCUUGGAUUAUCGGAAGAUGAACUUCUGCGAAAGCAUCUGCCAAGGAUGUUUUCA
rnacentral:rRNA from 1 species